AGAAUGGGGUCUGGGCCACACGGCUGGCAGAGCAGUGUGGGGACUGUGGGUGCCCCAUGUGGAAGGGGAGCUUGUCUGCUCCCUAGCGUGACUGUGUGUGUGUGUGUGUGUGUGUGUGUUGGGGGUGGGAGGUGCCUGUGUGUGGCAGAGGUGCUUGUCUGCUCCCUAGUGUGACUGCGUAUGUGUACGUGUAUGUGUAUAUGUGCCUGCAUGUGGCAGGGGAGCUUGUCUGCUAGCUUGUGUGGCUGUAUGAGUGUGUGAUAGGAGGCUGUAGGGUCAGGCCGUGUCUCUGGAGUUACCUUGUUAGAGCACCAAACACCAGGAGCGGCUCUGAUGCCCUUGAUGAGAGCAUAACCUGAGACUCCGUGUGUAUAAGUGACGUCAAGGAAUAUGUAUUUGAAGUACAUUCUUAACGCCUUAUUACUUCCAUGAAAAUCAGGUGGCUGUCACUGCCUGCUACU
rnacentral:lncRNA from 10 species